UACGAAGGGGGCUAGCGUUGUUCGGAAUUACUGGGCGUAAAGCGCACGUAGGCGGGUCGUUAAGUCAGGGGUGAAAGCCCGGAGCUCAACUCCGGAAUUGCCCUUGAUACUGGCGACCUUGAGUCCGAGAGAGGUAAGUGGAACUCCGAGUGUAGAGGUGAAAUUCGUAGAUAUUCGGAAGAACACCAGUGGCGAAGGCGGCUUACUGGCUCGGUACUGACGCUGAGGUGCGAAAGCGUGGGGAGCAAAC
rnacentral:rRNA from 1 species